rnacentral:lncRNA from 1 species
ACGAAUUUGGAUAAAAUUUUAAGCCUAUAUUCAAGCCGAACUUGGACAAACGUAAAAAAUAUUAAUAUCAUUUUUAGACUCAACUCAUGAACACCUCUACUAUCACCCCGUUAACUUCUAUGUUUCUAUUACUUCAUACUAUUUAACAAUUGGAAAUUCAAUUCAAUAUAAUUUUCAAAAUGCCUUAGCACACCUUUUUUUUUUCAAUAAAGGUUAGUAAUUAUAUUAAAGAAAGUAUUUAUAAACAAUUUUAUUUACGUUCAUGAAGAAAAAUUAGUAUAUAAAAUGCAAUCUCCUUGAGAAAUAUAGACAAUUUUAAUAAAAUUAUUACAUAUUCAUGAUUUCAAAUACUGUAAGAAUAUACUUACUUUUCGUUUCCGUGUAAUGUUAUUCAUCAUGUGAGUUACAUAAUUUUACUACACUUAUUGCAAUUUUGAUGGUUUUUAUUUUUUCCGUUUAUCAAUUACUCUUAAAUUUUAGUAUAUUAAUUAAUAUUAAUACUUAUACUCGGAGCCACAACCAAUGCUUUAAUUAUCUUUCUCAUGUUUUAUUUAAACAUUGACAUCCAUACUUACCAUUGUUAAACUUUACGUGCAAUCUUUUAG